rnacentral:rRNA from 1 species
UACGUAGGGGGCAAGCGUUGUCCGGAUUUAUUGGGCGUAAAGAGCGUGUAGGCGGCUAGGUAGGUCCGUUGUGAAAACUCGAGGCUCAACCUCGAGACGCCGGUGGAAACCGUAAAGCUAGAGUCCGGAAGAGGAGAGUGGAAUUCCUGGUGUAGCGGUGAAAUGCGUAGAUAUCUGGAGGAACACCGGUGGCGAAGGCGGCAUCCUGGACCGGUAUUGACGCUGAUGCGCGAAAGCCAGGGGAGCAAACGGG